rnacentral:rRNA from 1 species
UACGAAGGGUGCAAGCGUUAAUCGGAAUUACUGGGCGUAAAGCGUGCGUAGGCGGUUGGCUAAGUCAGAUGUGAAAGCCCUGGGCUCAACCUGGGAAUGGCAUUUGAAACUGGCCGGCUAGAGUGUGAUAGAGGAUGGCGGAAUUCCCGGUGUAGCGGUGAAAUGCGUAGAGAUCGGGAGGAACAUCCGUGGCGAAGGCGGCCAUCUGGAUCAACACUGAUGCUGAGGCACGAAAGCGUGGGGAGCAAACAGG